UACGGAGGGGGCUAGCGUUGUUCGGAAUUACUGGGCGUAAAGCGCACGUAGGCGGCUUUGCAAGUUAGAGGUGAAAGCCCGGGGCUCAACUCCGGAAUUGCCUUUAAAACUGCAUCGCUAGAAUUGUGGAGAGGUAAGUGGAAUUCCGAGUGUAGAGGUGAAAUUCGUAGAUAUUCGGAGAACACCAGUGGCGAAGGCGACUUACUGGACACAUAUUGACGCUGAGGUGCGAAAGCGUGGGGAGCAAACGGG
rnacentral:rRNA from 1 species